CGGGGGAGGCUGGAUCCUGGGCUGUGUCCUGGCGCAGCUGUGCUCCGGAGCCUACGCUGUUGGAUUCACGCUCCCGCCCCGCAGCCCCCU
rnacentral:pre_miRNA from 1 species